GUGGGUGACAUUUCCGGUGUGGUACGACCCGAUCCCAUCCCGAACUCGGAAGUCAAACACGCCAGGGCCAAUGAUACUACCGCGCAUGCGGCAGGGAAAGUAGGUAGUUGCCCUUU
rnacentral:rRNA from 1 species